GUGUAGGCCCAGGUUCCAGAGAAGGACAGGACUGCGGGGCUCUGAGCUCCUCGUGGACAGAGUUAGCGUCAGGCUGAUGGGAGCUGGCACCCUGGACAGGCCUGGAGCCCAGAGUGGGGCCGAGCAGGUGGUUGGUGCCAGGUUCCCGCUGGACGAAGCAGAAUGAGCUCUCGGGUGGGGACAGGGAGUGGAGGACAGCGGGCCGGGCCAUGCCCCACCUGGGGGGAGGGGAUCAGGACUCAGGAAGGCACCAGGACAGAGACACCGACUCUCCAGGCACUCAGGUGCCCUGAGAUGGGACCGCGCCCUGGGAGCAGAGUCCAGGGAGCAGCCUCCCCUGCAGGCAAGGAAAUGAAGGAGGAGCCUGAGGUCUCUUCCCCAAAACCAAACAGAUCGCCCUGGACGUGAACAAGACCUUCCGCAGCCACAUGGUGUUCUGGGACCGCUGUGGGGUCAGGAAAUGAAGGAGGAGGCCCAGGUCUCCACCCCAAAACCAAACAGAUCUCCCUUCCGCAGCCACAUGGUGUUCUGGGACCGCUGUGGGGUCAGAGAUAGUGACCCAACUGCUUCGAAUCUUUUAUCUGUGUCAAACCUGCAUGAACGCUCCCGGCAUUCUCACCACGGCUGCAACCCGGAGGCACCCGAGAUGCUCCUGGAUGAGCGGCACGAGGUCCUUAACACAGAGGCCAGGUCAGGACACAGGCAAGGCGCUGUGGAUGCGCUCAGGGCCCGAAUGCACCUGCUGCAGUUGUUCAAGGCAGGUGGCCAGAUGGUGGCCGGUGGUGUUCACAGGAGGCGGGAACACGCCAGGGCAGGGGGAAGAAGGCAUGAGGGGAGCAAGGGCCAGGGGAGCACCUGGCUCCCAGGGGGACAUCGAGCGUGGGGGGCUGCUCUGGCGCUGGAGGGGGAGCUGUCCACUUGGGAGAGCCCAGGAGCUGCAUUCUGGGGUUGUCUCCUGGAGGCAAACGGAAAACCCCAGAACGCAGAUAACCGCCCAGCAGGCUGUGUCUGAGGUCGCUGCUGUCACCGGGUGCAGACCUGACCCCAGAGACCAGUCCCCACUGACGUGCCCUGAGGACCGCAGGGCCUGUGAGGCUGGGGUCCGCACCUCUUGGGACUUGCUGGGCGAGGGCCACACUGAGCAGACCACCCUGCCGGCCGCCUCCUGGGCUGCAAGCCCUUCUCCACGUGCUGUCGGCCUAUUCCGCGUACAACACCGUGAGUGUUCUGCCCCCAGGCCUGCUGCCCCACACGUGUCCUUUUCUGAAUGUUGGUGACCCGACAGGACACACGGUUAGGACCCCAGCUUCCGCUGUCCCAAGAUGCAACGGAUGGGCUCUCUCCUCUGGGACUCGGGCAGGGGGCUGGGGGGAGACCCCACUGUGGGAGGAGGGUACCCCGGGUGCCUGAGUGCUCGGCUGCCUGGGCUCUUGCGACACCGCUGCUCCUAAACCUCGGGUCUGGAUCCUGGAGAGACCAGAGCCCUAAUCACAACCUGGGCGGGAGGAAGCCCCCAUCCCCCAACUCUACCACCUGUAGGUGGACACCUUCCCUGGGGGUGUAAGGGGGGGCUGGCUCCUGCAGGAGGUGGGCUGCUGCCAGCGCAUGAGCCAUUGGUGGGCGUCCCUGCUGAUGUACCUGAGCGAGGAGGAAGCCUUCUGGCCGCUGGCCCAGCUGCACGCCAUGCACGGGAGGGGCUGGACUGGCCGCUGGAUGGAUUGGAGCUCAGGAGAGCCUCCCUGCAGGGCUGCUGCAGCCGUGGGACAGGAGGGACCCCACCCAGCCCACCUCCCCACCUGCAAGGGCUCCACCUCCCCAGGUGCCCCUCGGGGUCCUGGAGCUAUGGCCACCCACUCCACUCCACUAUUUGUAGCCAGUCUAGCCCUCCCGCUGCCCCUUGAGCCUCCUGUCUGGCUGCCUGCAUGCCCCCAGGCCCGUGCCACCCCAGCCAGACAAAGCCCAGGCGGCAGGGUCUCCCCACACCUAGCUCUGCCCCCAGCCUGACUCCCAAGCCCAGAGAUGGCCCCGCACACCCAUCACCCUCCGCAUGGCCUGCACUCCCUGCCCCUGGGUGCCUGAGACCCGCCUGCCCCCGCAGAGGCCAUAGCAGGAAAGAGGGUGCUGGUCAGACAGGCCUCGUCCUCAGCCCAGGGCCCCCACCUAGCGGGUCUCUGUGAGGAUGAGGGCCCUGGGGGCCUGACCCCCAGGCCUGGAAGUCAGUCCUGCUCUCUGGGAAGUGCAGGUCCAGUCAGGGCUUGGAGGGCUGUGGGCACACAUGGGAUCAGGGGUGUGGGGGAGGAGGCACCUGCCAGGACACCCCCCUCCCAUGCCUGGUUGGGGAGGAGGCCCUGAUUGUUGGGGGCCUGCGGCCUGCUCAGGCUCCUUCAUUCCAGAGUUACCCAAACUGCUGAGGUUUCAGGCCCAUCAUGAGUAUAUUCUUGACAGAGCUCUCCCCAAGCAGAAGCACAUGGCGAGUAGAAGCUCCCUGGAGGCUCCGUCCCAAGACCCGGGGCAGGGUGGGGGCAGCGGCCUUCUGAGCUGGCCAGAGUUUGGUGUCAUGUUCCUGCUCCUGGGGGACUCAGGGUGCCCUCGGGGCUGGGCGGGGCCAUGGGGAGUGUGUCCACCUGGCUCUAUGGGGCCGCUGGGUGGGUCCUGAGCACCUGCUGCCCUUCCACCAGGACGAGGAAUAGAUGUGCACUGGCAUUUACACCCCCAGGGAGUUCCUUCAGUGUUUCAUCGACCAGAGUCCCUUCUCCCUCACCCUGAAGCUCUGGGACGCCUACAUCCUGGACGGGGAACGCAUGCUUACAGCCAUGGCUUACAGAAUCCUGAAGGUGCACAGUGAGGGACGUGAAGGGCUCCCCACAAGGCCCCUGUGCCUGGAGCAAGUGUCCCCGGCGCCCAGGCCUCUCCUCCAUUUUCCUAGCAUUGAGAUGCUGCCCAGGGUGGAUGAACUGACCUCCCAGUCCCAGCCACCUAACCUGAGCGGCCUGGACCCUUUCCGGCCAGGCCAUCCUCAAGGCCGAGGAACUGUUGCAGGAGGGAAAUUCCUUAGAGUCCAUGUCUGUACAUCUGCCCGGGAAGUCCAGGGGCUCGGGUUUUGAGCCAGCUGCCCCCAGCCCGGGGCUCCUCGCUGGCCCGGCUGCCCCCACAGCGAUGGAACUCCCUCCUCACCCUCCAGUGAACCAGGAGGGUACAGGCAGGUGGCCCUAGGACAUGGGCUUGAAGCCAGAACACUGAGUCCUGUUCCCUUCAGGAUCUGCCUGGGCCUCCCCAGAGGGGCGUCCCCCAUCACGGGGCCUACCCAUCCCACUAAUGAUGAUGCUGUAGGGAUCAGGACACCUUUCCUGGCCUGGGGCCACUGCAGCCCAUGCCCCCGUUGGGCAGUGACUGGCACAGCCAGGCCAAGGCAGGACAACGCUGAGCCGCCUGCCCCACGGGCCCGCUCACGCCUGGGACCCUCUGACCUCUGUGUCAACAGGGGAGCUGAAUGCUCGUGGGCCUCUGGGGCAGAGCGUGAUGGUGAGUGUGGGGGCCUUGAGGCUCUGGCCAGCCGGCACCGUGCCCUGCCUCACCUCACUGUCUCUCCUGGAGGGAGGCACCCUCCACACAGGACACAAGCCCUGGACCCAAAGGGACCUGCGCUGGUCUGGUCCUGGACUCUGUGGGGGCAGAGAUGACAUGCACCCCCCAGGGCCAGAAUGAAGUUGAGGUCCAGCCCCCUGUGGCCCUGGCCAGUCCUGGAUUCUGCUCCAAGGCUAGGUGAGCCAUCCCGGAGCAGUAUGUGGCCUCCUGGGACCUGGGCGUGCCCCACAGAUCCAGGUCUCUGACCUAGGGCCACACUUGGAAUAACAGGACAGCCCGGUACCGGGGCAGCAGGGGACUCGAGGGACCCCACCCUCACCCAACUAGGAGGCAGACUCCCCAGUGCUGGGUCUCCAGCAGUCAGUUACCUGGCACCAGUGGGCCACGGGCCGGGGUCCGGCAGACAUGCUGGGACCCAGCCCAGGAACCCAAACACGGCAGGUCCAGGUCAGGUCUGCUGUCCUCAGAACUGCCUCUCAGGCCCCAACCCCAGGAAAUGUGCCCCCACCUGGAGUCAGCACAGGCUCCAAGGAUGGGGGACCCCAGCACCCGCACCUCCAUGUGAUUUCGGCAUUCUCCAGGAGACAGGAAGGUCUCCCUCCCCAGUGGAAGAUCACACCCUCGGCUCCGAGCCCUUUUGCUGUUGAAAGUUCAAUAAGGUGUUGUGGUGUCAAAAUGCACAGCCAGCCUGUUUCUGGGGCUCCCGGAGCUCUGUGCAAGCAGGGGACAGAGCCCAGCAAGGAAGAGGGGGCGCUCCCAGGCUCCCACCAGCCCGUGGCAGGUGUCCGCCAGGCAGACAAAGCUGAGGUUCCACGUGCCAAUGUCGACCAGACGCCGGGGUCAAGACCAGAAGGGAGGGAAAAGUAGAAUCAGACAAAAUCAGACUGAGAGACAAAGCACAAGAGAGUCUGCUCUAGGGAAGUGAGGUUUGCUGAAGGGGGCGGGGGAAGGGAGGAUGGGGACGAGGGCCAUGAUGGGACGAGCACCGGGUGUUCUGUGCAACUGCCGAAUCCCUGACUGUACCUCUGAAACUCAUAAUACACUAUAUGUUACUGACUUGAAUUUAAAUUGAAAACGAAAUCAAUGCAGAGGCAGAUAUGAAACGUCUUCUGUCCUCUGACAAUCCAGAAUUUUUAAAAAGAUUUUACUUUUUAUUGAUGAGAGACACACAGAGAGAGGCAGAGACACAGGCAGAAGCAGAAGCAGAGUCUGUGCAGGGAGCCCGAUGUGGGACUCGAUCUCACGACCUCAGGAUCACGACCUGAGCCAAAGGCAGACGCCCAGCCACUGAGCCACCCAGGCGUCCCUGUGAAUCCAGAUAUUAAAGAGAUCUGCCAAAUUGUAAAUCAGUG